GCCGGGGUGGCGGAACAGGUAGACGCAGGGGACUUAAAAUCCCCCGGCCCGUAAGGGCCGUGCCGGUUCGAUUCCGGCCCUCGGUA
rnacentral:tRNA from 1 species